ACGGGGUGCAGCAGGCGCGAACACUUUACAAUGCGGGAAACCGCGAUAAGGGAACCCCGAGUGCCAGCAUCAAAUGUUGGCUGUCCAGAUGAUUAAAAAUCAUUUGUUAGCAAGGGCCGGGCAAGACCGGUGCCAGCCGCCGCGGUAACACCGGCGGCCCGAGUGGUAGCCGUUUUUAUUGGGUCUAAAGGGUCCGUAGCCGGCCUGAUAAGUCCUUUGGGAAAUCUGGCAGCUUAACUGUCAGGCUUCUAAGGGAUACUGUCAGGCUUGGGACCGGAAGAGGUAAGGGGUACUCCAGGGGUAGGAGUGAAAUCUUGUAAUCCCUGGGGGACCAUCUGUGGCGAAGGCGCCUUACCAGAACGGGUCCGACGGUGAGGGACGAAAGCUAGGGGAGCAAACCGGAUUAGAUACCCGGGUAGUCCUAGCUGUAAACGAUGCUCGCUAGGUGUCAGACACGGUGCGACCGUGUUUGGUGCCGCAGGAAGCCGUAAGCGAGCCACCUGGAAGUACGUCGCAAG
rnacentral:rRNA from 1 species